GUGGGGAAUAUUGGGCAAUGGGCGCAAGCCUGACCCAGCAACGCCGCGUGAGGGAAGAAGGCUUUCGGGUUGUAAACCUCUGUCCUUGGUGACGAAAAAAAUGACGGUAGCCAAGGAGGAAGCCCCGGCUAACUACGUGCCAGCAGCCGCGGUAAUACGUAGGGGGCGAGCGUUGUCCGGAAUUACUGGGCGUAAAGGGUGCGUAGGUGGCCUUUUAAGUUGGAUGUGAAAUCCCCGGGCUUAACUUGGGUGGUGCAUCUAAUACUGGAGGGCUAGAGUGCAGGAGAGGGAAGCGGAAUUCCUAGUGUAGCGGUGAAAUGCGUAGAUAUUAGGAGGAACACCAGUGGCGAAGGCGGCUUUCUGGACUGUAACUGACACUGAGGCGCGAAAGCCAGGGGAGCGAACGGGAUUAGAAACCCGGGUAGUCC
rnacentral:rRNA from 1 species